AUGCCAGUUCAAUGUGUCCGCUCAACUUUAAAAUGUUUUGCGGAGCAUAUUUUACAAUGACACUGGUAAAGUAAAGCCACAGUACGAGCCUUGAAGACUUUGUUGUCUCUGAGGUCCCAUGAGAUGGCUACAGCU
ensembl:snoRNA